rnacentral:lncRNA from 1 species
GAGCGACGUCCCCGAUCUCGUUCUCUUUGGAAGCCCAGGCGAGCGCUGAGCUUGUGGCCGGCUCUGGGUUCUUCUUUGAAGCGUAUCUGGAGGAGGGCCCCUGAUUCCAGAUGUCUGUGUCCGCAAGUGAAAAGGCACGUGGUCCAGGCUGC